CUCCAGACUCCUACGGGAGGCAGCAGUGGGGAAUAUUGCACAAUGGGGGAAACCCUGAUGCAGCGACGCCGCGUGAGUGAAGAAGUAUUUCGGUAUGUAAAGCUCUAUCAGCAGGGAAGAAAAUGACGGUACCUGACUAAGAAGCCCCGGCUAACUACGUGCCAGCAGCCGCGGUAAUACGUAGGGGGCAAGCGUUAUCCGGAUUUACUGGGUGUAAAGGGAGCGUAGACGGCAUGGCAAGUCAGAUGUGAAAGCCCGGGGCUCAACCCCGGGACUGCAUUUGAAACUGUCAGGUUGGAGUGCAGGAGAGGUAAGUGGAAUUCCUAGUGUAGCGGUGAAAUGCGUAGAUAUUAGGAGGAACACCGGCGGCGAAGGCGGCCUGCUGGACCGUGACUGACGUUGAGGCUCGAGAGCGUGGGGAGCAAACAGGAUUAGAUACCCCGGUAAC
rnacentral:rRNA from 1 species